rnacentral:piRNA from 1 species
UGGGGACAGAGGAGUCACGCAGCAGA